rnacentral:rRNA from 1 species
GGGGAAUAUUGGACAAUGGACCAAGAGUCUGAUCCAGCAAUUCUGUGUGUUUGAUGAAGGCCUUCGGGUUGUAAAGAACUUUAAGUAGGGAAGAAGAAAGUGACGGUACCUACAGAAUAAGCGACGGCUAAAUACGUGCCAGCAGCCGCGGUAAUACGUAUGUCGCAAGCGUUAUCCGGAAUUAUUGGGCAUAAAGCGCGUCUAGGCGGUUUAUUAAGUCUGAUGUGAAAAUGCGGGGCUCAACUCCGUAUUGCGUUGGAAACUGGUAGACUAGAGUAUUGGAGAGGUAGGCGGAACUACAAGUGUAGAGGUGAAAUUCGUAGAUAUUUGUAGGAAUGCCAAUUGGGAAGCCAGCUUACUGGACAAAUACUGACGCUGAAGCGCGAAAGCUAGGGGAGCAAAC